UACGGAGGGUGCAAGCGUUAUCCGGAUUUACUGGGUUUAAAGGGUGCGUAGGCGGAUAGGUAAGUCAGGGGUGAAAUCUUCGAGCUUAACUCGGAAAUUGCCUUUGAUACUAUCUAUCUUGAAUAUUGUGGAGGUAAGCGGAAUAUGUCAUGUAGCGGUGAAAUGCUUAGAGAUGACAUAGAACACCUAUUGCGAAGGCAGCUUACUACGCAUAUAUUGACGCUGAGGCACGAAAGCGCGGGGAUCAAACAGG
rnacentral:rRNA from 1 species